rnacentral:rRNA from 1 species
CCUACGGGCGGCAGCAGUGAGGAAUAUUGGUCAAUGGGCGGAAGCCUGAACCAGCCAAGUAGCUUGCAGGAUGACGGCCCUACGGGUUGUAAACUGAUUUUAUACGGGAAUAACGCGCCUUACGUGUAGGGCUUUGCAUGUACCGUAUGAAUAAGGACCGGCUAAUUCCGUGCCAGCAGCCGCGGUAAUACGGAAGGUCCGGGCGUUAUCCUGAUUUAUUGGGUUUAUAGGUAGCGUAGGCCGCAUGUCAAGCGUGCUGUGAAAUUUCCGGGCUCAACCCGGGCCUUGCAGCGCGAACUGGCGUGCUUGAGUCCGCGGAAAGCAGGCGGAAUUCGUCGUGUAGCGGUGAAAUGCUUAGAUAUGACGAAGAACCCCGAUUGCGAAGGCAGCUUGCUGCAGCGGAACUGACGCUGAUGCUCGAAAGCGCGGGUAUCGAACAGGAUUAGAUACCCGAGUAGUC